CGAGCGAACAGACGAGGAGCUUGCUCCUCUGACGUUAGCGGCGGACGGGUGAGUAACACGUGGAUAACCUACCUAUAAGACUGGGAUAACUUCGGGAAACCGGAGCUAAUACCGGAUAAUAUAUUGAACCGCAUGGUUCAAUAGUGAGAGACGGUUUUGCUGUCACUUAUAGAUGGAUCCGCGCCGCAUUAGCUAGUUGGUAAGGUAACGGCUUACCAAGGCAACGAUGCGUAGCCGACCUGAGAGGGUGAUCGGCCACACUGGAACUGAGACACGGUCCAGACUCCUACGGGAGGCAGCAGUAGGGAAUCUUCCGCAAUGGGCGAAAGCCUGACGGAGCAACGCCGCGUGAGUGAUGAAGGUCUUCGGAUCGUAAAACUCUGUUAUUAGGGAAGAACAAAUGUGUAAGUAACUAUGCACGUCUUGACGGUACCUAAUCAGAAAGCCACGGCUAACUACGUGCCAGCAGCCGCGGUAAUACGUAGGUGGCAAGCGUUAUCCGGAAUUAUUGGGCGUAAAGCGCGCGUAGGCGGUUUUUUAAGUCUGAUGUGAAAGCCCACGGCUCAACCGUGGAGGGUCAUUGGAAACUGGAAAACUUGAGUGCAGAAGAGGAAAGUGGAAUUCCAUGUGUAGCGGUGAAAUGCGCAGAGAUAUGGAGGAACACCAGUGGCGAAGGCGACUUUCUGGU
rnacentral:rRNA from 1 species